rnacentral:rRNA from 1 species
UACGUAGGGUGCGAGCGUUAAUCGGAAUUACUGGGCGUAAAGCGUGCGCAGGCGGUUUUGUAAGCCAGAUGUGAAAUCCCCGGGCUUAACCUGGGAAUGGCAUUUGGGACUGCAAGGCUGGAGUGUGGCAGAGGAGACUGGAAUUCCUGGUGUAGCAGUGAAAUGCGUAGAUAUCAGGAGGAAUACCGAUGGCGAAGGCAGGUCUCUGGGCUGACACUGACGCUCAUGCACGAAAGCGUGGGGAGCAAACAGGAU